CAACGCAUCGUUUCUCGCAGAGAGAAACAGCUGUGCGCUAAAGACAUGGAGCCCUUGAGGAACUACAAGUGAAACGUCAAAAGGAAAAAUAUAUAAUAGGCAACGAGGAACUGCUACCGAGGAUCACCGAACUGUUGCCGGUCAUCUCGACGAAACGCUUCCGAGUCGUUGGUUCAUUCGUGGAUAAUUCGGAAGAAAAUUGGGCAGAGCUGCUCGAACCGUUCGUCGAUGACGAUGUCGGCGGCGGCGCGGAACUCCUGGAAAUACCGUCGCAUCUGACAACAUGAGUGUGUGGAUGAUCAAUGGCAACAUCAAACCCUAACGUCUGUAGAAGAGCAUUUUCAUUGAACACCAAAUCUUGAGCUUGUUCAAGAAAUUGCUAAAAUCCAUCAUUAUAAGGUGGUGGUUGAUCUCUGUGAAGACACAUGUAUGCCAUUUUGAUGACAUGUUCUAAUUUCCUUGGCUGUUCUUCUACUUUUGCAGCUAAAAAAAGUGACGCGACAGCAAUAGCAUUUCUGUGGAACUGGGUUAGUG